GACGAACGCUGGCGGCGUGCUUAACACAUGCAAGUCGAGCGGUAAGGCCCUUUCGGGGGUACACGAGCGGCGAACGGGUGAGUAACACGUGGGUGACCUGCCUUCGAGUGGGGGAUAACGUCCCGAAAGGGACGCUAAUACCGCAUGACAUCCUGCCUUUGAAGAGGCGGAGAUCAAAGCCGGGGACCGCAAGGCCUGGCGCUUGAAGAGGGGCCCGCGCCUGAUUAGCUAGUUGGGGGUAAUGGCUCACCAAGGCAACGAUCAGUAUCCGGCCUGAGAGGGCGGACGGACACACUGGGACUGAGACACGGCCCAGACUCCUACGGGAGCAGCAGUGGGGAAUUGUUCGCAAUGGGCGCAAGCCUGACGACGCAACGCCGCGUGGAGGAUGAAGACCU
rnacentral:rRNA from 1 species